GACGUAGGUUGCAAGCGUUAUCCGGAAUUAUUGGGCGUAAAGCGUUCGUAGGCGGUUUGUUAAGUUGGGUGUCAAAGCCCGGAGCUCAACUCCGGACCGGUACCCAAAACUGACAGGCUAGAGACAGGGAGAGGUAGAUGGAAUUCUGCAUGUAGGGGUAAUAUCCGUAGAUAUGCAGAGGAACACCAAAAGCGAAGGCAGUCUACUGGCCCUGUUCUGACGCUCAGGAACGAAAGCGUGGGGAGCAAAC
rnacentral:rRNA from 1 species